rnacentral:lncRNA from 1 species
AUGUUCAAUAAUCUUCCUUCUCAAACAGUGGAGAGAGAAAAGAGGAAAGACGAGCUACUGGAUAUUGCCAAGUCAAAGCAAGAACGUACGAACUCAGAACUCCAUAAUCUGAGACAGAUUUAUGUAAAGCAACAGAGUGAUCUUCAGUUUCUUAAUUUCAAUGUGGAAAAUUCUCAGCAAUUUAUACAGAUAUGUGACUCAAAGAUGGAGGAAUCAAAGACCCUGGAAUCCAGGGAGCUGACCCAGUCCCAUUGUUUGAGUUCCUCAAAACCCGCCAUAAACUGGGAUGAGACAGAGGCCUUUCCUGAUGAAAAGAACACACCCACCAGUUUGUUAAUCGACAGAGAUUCAACCCUGUCUAAAGAAAAGGACGACUUCUCGCCCACGAGCAAGCUGCAGCGUCUGCUGGCCGAGUCCCGGCAGAUGGUCACCGACCUGGAGCUCAGCACGCUGCUGCCCCUCGGCUGCCAGGACCCGGGCGGUGGCGCCAGAAGCAAUUUAGAAGGCUCAGAAGAGUCAGCUCAAAAGAACACCUUCAUCAGUCCCUGAAGAACACACAGACAGCCCCAGUGUUCACCGAGGCCCUGGGUAAGUCACCUUCGCUUGUGGCGCUUGUAUCUCCGUGGAUAUUUAAUAAGUAACUGGGGGACGCUGAUAAUGUGGAGGCAAGGCUGGCGUUUGUUUGGCCAGUAACCUUUCUCUCUGCUUGGCCUGGGUAUACUGUACAUACCCUCCCGGUCCUAUCAGAGCAAAAUGUCAGCUCCUUGGGAGAGAAAUGCAGAUCAGAAGGUUCUUGCACUUAUUACCUAGAAAUUGAAAUCCAAGGAAGUGAAUCUAUAGAUCCAGCUUUCAGAGUCAGAGUCUAAAGCAGCAUUUCAGCACUUUACCUGGCUAUCUCCCUGCAGAGAAAUCGAUAGUUGGGAUCUGGGUCUUUGCAGCUUUGUACAAAGUGUCUGUUCCCUCACGGGCCUCCUCCUGUGAGACUCCAUUUCCCGUCCGGUGUCUUCAGGAUCUGGGUGUCUCUCAGCAGCCGUGGCCGAGGCCUUUAGACUCUGCCAGCUGGAAACUCCCUUCCUCCCUGCCCCUUCUUGCCCAGAGGUCUUCACCUGGCUGUGCCUUCAUACCAAUGAGUCGGGAUCUGCAGCCGCGUCUUAAAUGGAGUUCUUAGCACCAGCCGGGGCUUAAUGAUCCACAUUCUGCUUCCUUCCCCAGAAGCAGAUUUCUGGUCCGAGUGAAGGCAAAGCAAACGUCAGUAAGGCUCCCUUCCCUAAAACCAGAUCGUGGGCCGUGAGCCUUCGCGGGUCCCGGGAAGCAGGGCUGAGCACCUACUUUGGUUUUCAGUGAAGUGUUCCAUGUGGCUUUCUCAUACCUUUACAAGCUUGGGAUUAUGCCAAGAGGGAGAAGACUUCUGUGGAAGGACCCAGGUGCCCUGCAGCCCUGGAGAACAUCGGAACCGAGUGUGAAAUCCACUCGCUCUGCCUUCUCGGGACUUGCACGCACAUCUAAGUUAGAAUCAGGGAGCUCUCAGAGUCGGCUCCAAAUAUGUGAGGACAGUGUUGUCUUCUAUAGUUUUAGGGCUGCACUUUGCCGGUUAAUAGACAUGACUGAGAGUCACAUGACGCGAGUGGGGGUCAUUUGCCCUUGGCUGCUGACUGUCCAGGUCAUCUGUCCUAGGCCAGGCAGAGUCCGUCUUGCUGGAUUUGUAUCUGUCCAUCCAUUAACACAAACAAAUGUGUACUGGAAGAUCAAGUUGUACAUGGAUUUUUUUAUAUUAAAGAAUAAAACACUUCCAUGUUAACUUGUAAAGUAAUUUGAUUUUUUAAAAAUAAUAUUGUGUGACUCUGUGUGUCCCUCCUAAGAGAACUGAUCUGUUUCAGUCAAUAAAGAAUAUUUUUAAUAAACAAAAGUACUUUCUGUUGGUUUCCUUUUAUUGCACAGUAAGAAAAUAAGGAAGAUUAGUCACUUUACACCAAACCUGGUGAGUGCUAUUCCUCAGGAACAGGAAUGAGGAAUGCAUUUCAGAUAUCAAAGUUCUAGUGUGGUAGACAAAUGACCCCUUUGUUGGAUGCAACAGGGUUUCUGCAGAGAUGAUUUUCCCAGGAGCUGAAGGGCUGCCAUGGUUUGGUUUUUUUUUUUUUUUUUUUUUUUUUUUUUUCUUUGUACCAGGGAUUGAACUCAGGUCCUUGUGUUUGUGAGGCAGGGGGCAGGACCACUGAGCUAAAUCCCCAGCCCUGGUUUGGGUUCUUUUGUUUGUUUAUUUGUUUGUUGUUUUUUGAGACAGGGUCUCACUAUGUAGUUCAGACUGACCUGGAACUCACUGUGUAGCCCAGGCUGGUCUCAAACUCACAUAGAUCCUCCUGUCUCAGCCUCCCGAGUGCUGGGAUUAAAGGCCUGCACCACGACGCCCGGCUUCAGUUUGGCUUCUUAAUUGGGGUGCUGAAAAGAGAAGUGGGCUGAGGUCUGGCUGCGUCCCUCAUAAAUACUUGCUCUCUCCCCAGGCCAGUUGCACAGAGCGAGACUGAGGAAGGUGUAGCCGGUCCCAGCAGUGCGUGCAGAGCAGAAACCUGAAAUGUCCAGAGAGGUGACUUCCGGCUGAGCACAGAAACGCCUGGCUCCUUCUCUGUGGGCUGGGCUCCUGCUGCAGAUCCCCUUGCCCAGUGACAGUGGGGCUCUGAUUAACUCUGAGCAGGCAAACUUCAGGGAACUGAAGGAUUGGAACAGAAUUAAAAAUUACUAUAUGGCUAAAAGUAUUUUUAGGUCAUAGGAUUGUCGUAUGUGCACAACUCUUUUAGGUGAGUGUGUCUGUGUGUGGCAGUGGGUGGAACCCACUCUAGACCACCAUCUACGCUGAGCUACACCCCCACCCCUCACACUGCUGUGGUGAGGUGAAGUCUUCCCGGUGAUGCUUAUUCUUACUGUACCACAUUACUGUGAAUUAUUUCACGGGCAGUUCAAAAGGCAGGUUAGAUGGACCAGGGAUUUAGCUCAGUAGUUCCAGCGCCUUCCUCAAAAGUGCAAGGGCCCGAGUUUUGUGUUGAGACAGGGUCUCACUGUUUAGUCCAGGCUGGUCCUACGUGACCGGAGUCGUCGUCAUUUUUUUUUCAGAGUCAUUUUUAAGAUCAACAACAUAUCAUCUUAGGAAGUGACUAAAUUGGUCCAGGGAUUUAGCUCAGUGAUUCCAAAGCCUGCC